CCUACGGGAGGCUGCAGUGGGGAAUAUUGCACAAUGGGGGAAACUCUGAUGCAGCGACGCCGCGUGAGUGAAGAAGUAAUUCGUUACGUAAAGCUCUAUCAGCAGGGAAGAAAAUGACGGUACCUGAGUAAGACGCCCCGGCUAACUACGUGCCAGCAGCCGCGGUAAUACGGAGGGGGCAAGCGUUAUCCGGAUUUACUGGGGGUAAAGGGCGCGUAGACGGGUCGCCAAGUCUGGAGUGAAAUGCCGCGGCUUAACUGCGGAACUGCUUUGGAAACUGGCGAACUAGAGUGCGUGAGGGGUAAGCGGAAUUCCUAGUGUAGCGGUGAAAUGCGUAGAUAUUAGGAGGAACACCGGUGGCGAAGGCGGCUUACUGGACCGUAACUGACGUUGAGGCUCGAAAGCGUGGGGAGCAAACAGGAUUAGAUACCCGGGUAGUC
rnacentral:rRNA from 1 species